UUACUGGGUGUAAAGGGCGCGUAGGCGGGUUUGUAAGUCAGUGGUGAAAUCCUGCGGCUUAACCGUAGAACUGCCAUUGAUACUGCAAAUCUUGAGUUUGGAAGAGAGAAGCGGAAUUCCAGGUGUAGUGGUGAAAUACGUAGAUAUCUGGAAGAACACCAGUGGCGAAGGCGGCUUCUUGGUCCAUAACUGACGCUGAGGCGCGAAAGCGUGGGGAUCAAACAGGAUUAGAUACCCUGGUAGUCCACGCUGUAAACGAUGAAUACUAGGUGUUGGAUGCAUUAGUAUCCAGUGCCGCAGCUAACGCAUUAAGUAUUCCACCUGGGGAGUACGAUCGCAAGGUUGAAACUCAAAGGAAUUGACGGGGGCCCGCACAAGCAGUGGAGCAUGUGGUUUAAUUCGAUGCAACGCGAAGAACCUUACCUAGGCUUGAAAAGCAAGCGACCGAGUGUGAAAGCACUCUUCCAGCAAUGGCGCUUGUACAGGUGCUGCAUGGCUGUCGUCAGCUCGUGCCGUGAGGUGUUGGGUUAAGUCUCGCAACGAGCGCAACCCCUACCAUUAGUUGCCAUCAGGUUAUGCUGGGCACUUUAAUGGGACUGCCUACGCAAGUAGUGAGGAAGGUGGGGAUGACGUCAAGUCAGCAUGGCCCUUACGUCUAGGGCUACACACGUGCUACAAUGGGUGCUACAAUGGGUUGCCAAACCGCGAGGUGGAGCCAAUCCCAUAAAGGCAUCCUCAGUUCGGAUUGCAGUCUGAAACUCGACUGCAUGAAGCUGGAAUUGCUAGUAAUCGCGU
rnacentral:rRNA from 1 species